rnacentral:misc_RNA from 1 species
UACGGAGGGUGCGAGCGUUGUCCGGAUUUAUUGGGUUUAAAGGGUGCGUAGGCGGCCCUUUAAGUCAGUGGUGAAAGCCCGCAGCUUAACUGUGGAACUGCCAUUGAUACUGGAGGGCUUGAGUACGGUUGAAGUAGGCGGAAUUUAUGGUGUAGCGGUGAAAUGCAUAGAUACCAUAAAGAACACCGAUAGCGUAGGCAGCUUACUAAGCCGUAACUGACGCUGAGGCACGAAAGCAUGGGGAGCGAACAGG